UACAGAGGUCCCGAGCGUUGUUCGGAUUCACUGGGCGUAAAGGGUGCGCAGGUGGGUUGGCAAGUUUGAUGUGAAAGCCCCGGGCUUAACCUGGGAAUGGCCGUUGAAACUGGCGAACUGGAGUGUGGCAGAGGGGGGUGGAAUUCCACGUGUAGCAGUGAAAUGCGUAGAUAUGUGGAGGAACACCGAUGGCGAAGGCAGCCCCCUGGGUUAACACUGACGCUCAUGCACGAAAGCGUGGGGAGCAAACAGG
rnacentral:rRNA from 1 species